CAAAUCGUCUGCCCCAGGGGUCCGUACCUCGGGGGUCAGAAUUGGCUGCCGAUGAUGCCCAGAACCCCUCCGCGGCGAAUCUGAGCCUCCAGCUUCAGCACCAAGGGCUGGACAGCGCCACGGCCCGAGAGCAACCAGGCCACCCGUCGUUUGACCUGCAUUUUCUGUGACAAGUGGGAGAGCCGGAUGAACGGAGACGAUGACCCUUCUCAUUCGGUGUAAGAGCAGACCCCUCCCUCCCCGGGAAGGCUUGUGAUGGGCAGGUGCCCGUGGCUCCGGAAGUGGAAGUCUUCCCGCUCCCUCAUGGCCCUGGCCCUGGCGGUGGGCAGCUCAGGCGUGCUCUCCCCCUGCACCAGAGAGAGUCCUGUUCAGAGAGACUGGCAUGCGUCCUCACUUCUCCAAAAGGAGGGCGGUGCUUCAACGUCCCCUUUCUUCCAAGACAGAAGCUCCCUGACACCAGCCCUGGAGAAGCCUUAAUGCUCUGUGCUGGGCACCGCACAGAAGAACGAGCGAGGAGUCCCUGCUGUCACGGGGAGCUUCGAGCAGGGUUCCCUGCAAACUCUCUUUGUGACACCCGCCGCUUCCCUAUCACCAUCUGCAAGUUGAACCGAGAGCUCCCUGAGAAAGGCCUGUUCUCCCAG